rnacentral:lncRNA from 1 species
UUUUAACGAGGUUCCUCAACAGUCAGUGUAACUGGAGUACGUCCUCGGAGCAGUAGGAGCUCACCCAAUAAUCCACUAUCAACCAAAUGGGAGUUUACAAAGUGUUGGCAAUCUCACAACCCAUAAGCCCAAUACACCCAAUAGCUCUCACACACCAAAGAAACAAAUAGAGAAAGAAAUAUAAUGAAUAAUUUCUUCUCUACACAUAUAGCUCAAAGCUAUUACAACAACUAUUUUUGUGGAUGAUAACUAACCAAAAUGAAGCAUCAACUUCUUCUUUCUGUUUGGGCUCUCUGCAACUCUCUUGCUCUCGGCAGCUAUUUCUCAUUUUCUUCCGCUCUCUGUUUUCUUCUUAUCACCACACAAGCAGCAAUUGAUGCUAACAAUUCAUUAAGUCACCCCGUGACUUCUCACAUGGACCAAAGAAAAAACACAAAAAACUUUAGACAAGACCCAUGUUUUCCUCCCCAAAACAAGGAAAUAUGUUGUCCACUUUUGGUUUGUUUAUUCUAAAGUAUAUGGCCACUUGGCCACAUAAUCCAACAAUCUCCACCUUGGCCAAGUUCCGAAAAACGCCAUGAUAAGCCAACCAACACAAUUAACACACAACAUCACUCCCAAACACUAGCAAGAGAACAACUCAUGCCGAGCCAAAUGCUCCAAAACUCCUACUGCUCAACGCCUUCUUUAUAUAGGCAUAAUGUGAGCCAAGUUCAAACAGUGAACAAACUUGGCU